rnacentral:rRNA from 1 species
UACGGAGGGUGCAAGCGUUAUCCGGAUUUAUUGGGUUUAAAGGGUGCGUAGGCGGCCCUGUAAGUCAGUGCUGAAAUAUCCCGGCUUAACCGGGAGGGUGGCAUUGAUACUGCGGGGCUAGAGUACAGAUGAGGUAGGCGGAAUUGACGGUGUAGCGGUGAAAUGCAUAGAUAUUAUCAAGAACACCGAUUGCGAAGGCAGCUUACUAAGGAGUUACUGACACUGAGGCACGAAAGCGUGGGGAUCAAACAGG